CCGUGAUCGAUUAUCUUUCUACCUACUUCGCCCUGCCUGCCCGUCUGUCUGUCUGUUCUGCCCCCCACGUCGACGUUUCUGUGUGUGGUAUAAAAAUGUAGCAGUCUAUAACGAUGAAAACUUCGGAGAUCAAACUAAACAUGGCCACAUCUGCAACUAUUCUGAGCCUCUCACCCAGACGCCCGUCACGGGAACCUUCGGAUGGCGGUGGCGAUGAGCGGCGGGAACAAGCGAACAGCGGGUCAGGAGGGAAAACGACGCUCGUCGUCGUCGCCACCGGCCAAUCGCGAUUCGCGUUUACUGGUCACGUGAAUGCUCGCCCUUCGUCCGCCUGUUCCGCGCACCUAAAGUUCCUCUUUCACUCGUCAUGCGUCUCUUUCUCUCUCCCUCUCUCCUGUUCUCUCUCUCUCUCACGCUUUCACGCCCGAUAUCUCUUCACGUCGUGCGAAAGGAAUUCCUGAAUAUCGCUGCAGCGCACAGCUAUGCUCUGCUACGGAACUCCUGCGAAAGGCGCGACGCGGUUUACUACACGAGAUAAAAACAUGAGUUCGCGAGGCAUACAGGUGCGUGACUCGGCGAUUUUCCCAAGCACGCAAUUACGAUGACUAGCAUAAAAAAUAUUUUCGGAAAAUUCUGAAUCUUCAAUUUUGAAGAUACUGCAAUGUUUUGCCCGUUAUUAUUCGACUUUCAGAUAUUCCUGUUGGUUGUCGUAUUAAUUCAAUAAUUUUAUUAAAAUAUUUUAUACGCAACUCUUUUUUUUUUAUAAAUAUAUAAAUAACUUUUUCACAAAACAUAAGGUGCGACAUUGUGUCGAAAGCACUAACAAACAGUAUCAUAAUUGCAUUUUUGAACAAUUCUUUGGUACAGUCUCUUGCUAAAUAUGAACUAAAUUACAUAUGAAAGGCUAUUUUAUUCUAAAAAAAAAAACUAAAGUUUGUUACUAAUGUUAAUUUGACGUUGAUCUGAAUAUAAUUCCCGAUUCUAACAUUUCGACUUUCAAAAAAAAUUAUUGUACAAAUCAAUUCCUCAAAAAGUUAUAAUUUUUUGCAGUUAAAAUACUGUUAUUGAUAUCACUGGAAUAUUUACAAUGUCUUUUGAACUGUACAAGAUGUAGAAAUAAAGCGCUAUCAAAUUAUUA